GGGCCGGUAGUUCAGCGGUAUGAUGUCUGUACAUAUACACGUCCGCCUCGCGCGCGGAAGGUCGGGGGUUCAAUUCCCCCCCGGUCCA
rnacentral:tRNA from 1 species